rnacentral:rRNA from 1 species
UACGGAGGGUGCAAGCGUUAUCCGGAUUUACUGGGUUUAAAGGGUGUGUAGGCGGGCUUUUAAGUCAGCGGUGAAAUCUCCGGGCUCAACCUGGAAACUGCCAUUGAUACUAUUAGUCUUGAAUUUUGUUGAGGUAGGCGGAAUAAGUCAUGUAGCGGUGAAAUGCUUAGAUAUGACAUAGAACACCUAUUGCGAAGGCAGCUUACUACGCAUAUAUUGACGCUGAGGCACGAAAGCGUGGGGAUCAAACAGG